UGAUCAUGGCUCAGAUUGAACGCUGGCGGCAGGCUUAACACAUGCAAGUCGAGCGGAAACGAUGAUAGCUUGCUAUCAGGCGUCGAGCGGCGGACGGGUGAGUAAUACUUAGGAAUCUACCUAGUAGUGGGGGAUAGCACGGGGAAACUCGUAUUAAUACCGCAUACGACCUACGGGAGAAAGGGGGCAGUUUACUGCUCUCGCUAUUAGAUGAGCCUAAGUCGGAUUAGCUAGAUGGUGGGGUAAAGGCCUACCAUGGCGACGAUCUGUAGCUGGUCUGAGAGGAUGAUCAGCCACACCGGGACUGAGACACGGCCCGGACUCCUACGGGAGGCAGCAGUGGGGAAUAUUGGACAAUGGGGGAAACCCUGAUCCAGCCAUGCCGCGUGUGUGAAGAAGGCCUUUUGGUUGUAAAGCACUUUAAGCAGUGAAGAAGACUCCGUGGUUAAUACCCACGGACGAUGACAUUAGCUGCAGAAUAAGCACCGGCUAACUCUGUGC
rnacentral:rRNA from 1 species